GGCCGAGCUUUUGUCCACAAUAUGUAGUAUGAUAAAAAUUUUACGGGUUCAUUCAAAUUUAUUUACUUCUAGUGUAGAUUAUUUUUUUUUUUCUGCAUGAAUAAUUUAGCUUUUAAAUAUUUAGAUAGCUUUUGUCCCUCAUGCACUACCACGGUGAAUGCACAUAUUUCUUAUUCAAACAAAUAUAUUUCUAAUAUUGAAUAUUCAUAUUUGUUGAGAGAU
rnacentral:lncRNA from 1 species